rnacentral:rRNA from 1 species
GAUGAACGCUGGCGGCGUGCCUAAUACAUGCAAGUCGAGCGAACAGAUACGGAGCAUGCUCCCUUGACGUUAGCGGCGGAAUGGUGAGUAACACGUGGGUAACCUACCUAUAAGACUGGGAUAACUCCGGGAAACCGGAGCUAAAACCGGAUAAUAUUUGCAAUCGCAUGGUUCUAAAGUGAAAGAUGGUUUUGCUACUUAUUAUAGAUGGACUCGCGCCUGAUUAGCUAGUUGGUAAGGUAACGGCUUACCAAGCCAACGAUGCGUAGCCGACCUGAGAGGGUGAUCGGCCACACUGGGACUGAGACACGGUCCAGACUCCUACGGGAGGCAGCAGUAGGGAAUCUUCCGCAAUGGGCGAAAGCCUGACGGAGCAACGCCGCGUGAGUGAUGAAGGGUUUCGGUUCGUAAAACUCUGUUAUUAGGGAAGAACGAACGUGUAAGUAACUGAGCACGUCUUGACGGUACCUAAUCAGAAAGCCACGGCUAACUACGUG